rnacentral:rRNA from 1 species
AGUAAUGUAUGGGGAUCUGCCUGAUGGCGGGGGAUAACUACUGGAAACGGUAGCUAAUACCGCAUAAUGUCUGCGGACCAAAGCGGGGGACCUCCGGGCCUCGCGCCAUCAGAUGAGCCCAUAUGGGAUUAGCUUGUAGGUAAGGUAACGGCUUACCUAGGCGACGAUCCCUAGCUGGUCUGAGAGGAUGAUCAGCCACACUGGGACUGAGACACGGCCCAG